ACGGGAGGCAGCAGUGGGGAAUAUUGCACAAUGGGCGAAAGCCUGAUGCAGCGACGCCGCGUGAGUGAAGAAGUAUUUCGGUAUGUAAAGCUCUAUCAGCAGGGAAGAUAAUGACGGUACCUGACUAAGAAGCUCCGGCUAAAUACGUGCCAGCAGCCGCGGUAAUACGUAUGGAGCAAGCGUUAUCCGGAUUUACUGGGUGUAAAGGGUGCGUAGGUGGCAGGGCAAGUCAGAUGUGAAAGACCGGGGCUCAACUCCGGGGCUGCAUUUGAAACUGUCUUGCUGGAGUGCAGGAGGGGCAAGCGGAAUUCCUAGUGUAGCGGUGAAAUGCGUAGAUAUUAGGAGGAACACCGGUGGCGAAGGCGGCUUGCUGGACUGAUACUGACACUGAGGCACGAAAGCGUGGGGAGCAAACAGGAUUAGAUACCCUGGUA
rnacentral:rRNA from 1 species